GGAACGACCACACACCAUUCGACGGGCUUCAACGGCGGGUCAGGUCAGGGAGGCCCUCUUCUGGGACCUGUCCCUUUCGGACUACCCAGCUCCGCGGGAUACGGGGCGCCACUCAAGUCGGGAAAGGGAGGCUGGUGGUAAACAGGCAAGCCACCUUUUCCUCAACGUUUUUAACAAGAUUCCAACGCGAUGUUCUGCAGCACAGCCGAGAAUCUGGAGCUUCAUCUGUGCAUCCAUCAGGACAUAACUGUUGGCAAUUGUGAGAAUAUCAUCUAUCUUCAAGGUUCACAACGCUAUCCAGCUUUGGCAAAGCAAAACUACGGUUCUGCUGCACCAGUACAACCAGAAAAACCUUCUACAGACUAGACACACUCCCUACAAAUAUCAAAUGGUAGUGUGCCACUGUCUACAAUUGUUCGUCGUGAGCAGCGCACGCAGACAUCCUUGUGGUGGACGCUGAAAUAUUAUGGCGAAUCUCUACGCGACUUAGAGAAAUUAAGUGCGCUUUACCGUAUGUGCUUGCCCGUGCACUACCAGCACUUGUUUGCACUGUUGGCUCAUAUUGGCAAUGUGCCGUUAUAACACUUUCAGUCAUACAAUAUUUACCAAGGGAGAAAGCAGCAUACCAUGUCAUGUACGAUAAGGCACAUUGAAGAAAUACCGGGAAGUGGCAACUGAGGCAUACAAAGAAGAGGGCGACGAAAUUGCACCUCUACACCACACUUACGCUAAGAGAGACCAGCGAAAUGUUGUUUGGAAGCAAUAAAAGUUUGUUACAGUGUA